rnacentral:lncRNA from 1 species
CUAACAUCCAAGCCCAUCUUCCUCUACUUUAUAUGUGGGACGCCUACCACAGCAUAGUGUGCCAAGCGGUGCCAUGUCUGCAACCGGGAUCCGAACCCGCGAACCCUGGGCCGCCAAAGUGGAACGUGCUCACUUAACCGCUGCACCACCAGGCCAGCCCCCUGCAAAAUGCGUAUUCUGUGCAUGAUGCACCAUUUGCUCCUGCGAGCUACCCCGUACUCAGGAGAGCCUUAUUUUGCCUGUUAAACAGUUAGGUCCCUCUGUCUGCAAGGUCCAUCCUCUCCCACUGGGAAGGAGACCCUCGAGGAAGGUCGCUUGAUGGGUCUUAUUCACAGGUUUCAAUAUUUGUCGCUGUAGUAAUGUACUCUGAUAAUCUUUUAACUAAAGUGGCCUUUUAAAUCACUUCUUGUUUGUUUAGAGGUGUCUCGGACAUAAUUCCCACAACGAGAAUGAAUAACCAGCAUAAAUAGUUACACUGUG